GAUGAAGAACGUAGCGAAAUGCGAUAAGUAAUGUGAAUUGCAGAAUUCAGUGAAUCAUCGAAUCUUUGAACGCACAUUGCGCCCCUUGGUAUUCCGAGAGGCAUGCCUGUUCGAGCGUCAUUAUAACCCCUCAAGCUCAGCUUGGUGUUGGGGCCUGCUGCACUGGCAGCCCUUAAAAUCAGUGGCGGCGCCAUCUGGCUCUAAGCGUAGUAAUUCUUCUCGCUAUGGAGUCCUGGUGGAUGCUUGCCAUCAACCCCCAAUUUUUCUAUGGUUGACCUCGGAUCAGGUAGGGAUACCCGCUGAACUUAAGCAUAUCAAUAAGCGGAGGA
rnacentral:misc_RNA from 1 species